rnacentral:rRNA from 1 species
UCCGUAGGUGGAUAAUUAAGUCAGAGGUGAAAGUUUGCAGCUCAACUGUAAAAUUGCCUUUGAUACUGGUUAUCUUGAGUUAUUGUGAAGUAGUUAGAAUAUGUAGUGUAGCGGUGAAAUGCAUAGAUAUUACAUAGAAUACCAAUUGCGAAGGCAGAUUACUAACAAUAUACUGACACUGAUGGACGAAAGCGUGGGUAGCGAACAGGAUUAGAUACCCUGGUAGUC